rnacentral:rRNA from 1 species
GCUUACGGCCAUAUCACACUGUCUGCGUCUUAUCUCGGAAGCUAAGCAAGGUCGGGUCUUGUUAUUACUUGGAUGGGAGACCACCUGGGAAUACCAGGUGCUGUAAGCU